rnacentral:rRNA from 1 species
AGUCGAGCGAACGGACGAGAAGCUUGCUUCUCUGAUGUUAGCGGCGGACGGGUGAGUAACACGUGGAUAACCUACCUAUAAGACUGGGAUAACUUCGGGAAACCGGAGCUAAUACCGGAUAAUAUUUUGAACCGCAUGGUUCAAAAGUGAAAGACGGUCUUGCUGUCACUUAUAGAUGGAUCCGCGCUGCAUUAGCUAGUUGGUAAGGUAACGGCUUACCAAGGCAACGAUGCAUAGCCGACCUGAGAGGGUGAUCGGCCACACUGGAACUGAGACACGGUCCAGACUCCUACGGGAGGCAGCAGUAGGGAAUCUUCCGCAAUGGGCGAAAGCCUGACGGAGCAACGCCGCGUGAGUGAUGAAGGUCUUCGGAUCGUAAAACUCUGUUAUUAGGGAAGAACAUAUGUGUAAGUAACUGUGCACAUCUUGACGGUACCUAAUCAGAAAGCCACGGCUAACUACGUGCCAGCAGCCGCGGUAAUACGUAGGUGGCAAGCGUUAUCCGGAAUUAUUGGGCGUAAAGCGCGCGUAGGCGGUUUUUUAAGUCUGAUGUGAAAGCCCACGGCUCAACCGUGGAGGGUCAUUGGAAACUGGAAAACUUGAGUGCAGAAGAGGAAAGUGGAAUUCCAUGUGUAGCGGUGAAAUGCGCAGAGAUAUGGAGGAACACCAGUGGCGAAGGCGACUUUCUGGUCUGUAACUGACGCUGAUGUGCGAAAGCGUGGGGAUCAAACAGGAUUAG